CUUUUUUUUUUUUUUUUUAAAAAGGCAGCAACCACAAAAUAAACAGACACACACGAAUUACGAGUAAAGAGCACCACAACAUCAGUAGAACCCCAGGAAAUGAGAUAAUGUCAAACUCUAAGUUUAGCACUUACUUUUGCAAGACUCGGUAAGAAUCUAAUGAUAUGGAAAUUGCUACUUUCUAUUAAUAAUUUUCUCUUCAAAGAAAUGUAUCAACUGUUUCCUCUUCUGAGUUUUUAUAUUGAAAAGAGAUAACCAUAAUUCCAUAGUAUUUCUUUACCUCAUAUAAUCUUAAUGAUUAAUUAUUGCAAUUAUGUUCAAGACAAGUAUGGUAAGUGUAUCAUAUUAGAACUUUGUAAGCAUUGCCACACAAAAAUAGUGAAAGUUCAGUAAUAUCAACAAUUUUACACCUGUAAUUAUAAACCUGCCUUGAAAUACUAUAGACUUAAAAGGCAUAUAGAGUUUUGUCAACAGAAUUAAGAUUUCAUCUGGCAACAUAGCUCGUGAUGUUCACCUUUUUCCUGUCUUCACCUAAAUACACAGGGAAAAAUGAGCAACUCUGCUGCUUGCAGAGAGACACUGCAACUGCUGAGAUUUUUAAAAUACUGCAACAACAUAAACAAAAAAAAAUAGUAUCCACUUAAAAGUACACCUUGCCUGUGAAAUGUUCUUGGGAGGCAGUGAUUCAGCAUAUUACAGUGCUAUAUAGGUCAGUUAAUAUUGUGCUUGCAAUUAAUGUCCAAAGAAUUUAGAGCGGCAAGAAUGACAAACAUAGGAAAGACGUCCUAAAACUUUAAAAUUCUGCUGACAUGAUUUGCUCUCCAAAUGUGAAACUAUCAUUUUGCAUAAAUUACAUUCUUCAUUGCCAGUGUACUGUGUAAGACAGAAUACUUGUUUGUAUUAAGCAUGCACUUUACAAGUCCAAAAAUCACAAUUUCUCUCUUCAAUUUUAUCAAAACCCAAAGAUUGCGUAGAACAGGUACGUAUCAAAUCUUAACUGUACCCUUCACCAAAAAUGAGUUACUAACUAUAAACACUUUUUCAAAAUCUUUUCCCAUGAAGGCACCACAGGUCUUUUAGGAGGACUUUAUAAGUAGCUAUAGGCUACUUUAGCUUCUUUUCACAUUCUUUUUAUAUAUAGAAAUUGCUGAAGUUCAAGAUAAUGAAAACCAAUCAUAGAAUGAAUUAUGACUGCAAAGUAGAAAUUAACAAGUCAAAGGAAAGAAACUCUCAUUCACAAACCAGUGAUCAUUUAUGCAAUUCAUAGAACGGAACAGCAUGCUUAAAAGAAUUAUCACUGCAAAGAGAUAUCAGCAAAGGUUACUGCCUUUUAACUAGCAUUAAAAAAAGCAUCCAUACUAUGCCUAAUAAAACAGUCUACAGAUUAUUCCUGGAGAAAUCAAGCUAUAGAAAGAUUAUUUUCAAAGUUUCUUUGUGCUAAUAUCAACCAGAAUAAGUCAGAAAUUAUGAAGAGCUACUUAAUACAAUGAAUAAACAAUGAAAGCAAAUAAAAUCCAAAUCAAGAGCUUAACUUCAUAAAAUUGCACCUACUGAAAUGACAAAAGGUUAAAGAAUAUUUGCAAGCAUCUCAGAAGACUCCUUCAAGGAUAUAGUGCCUACAAAGAUUUCCCAAUAGCCAGACUCAAGACACUGACAUGCUCUUUGAUAAUGAUUUAAAUGUCAGUCACGCAAAACCAUCUACUCAUUUGAUUGUAAAUGAGAUUUUCCCAACCUUUAACACUCAUCAUGUGCAUACACACUGUACAAUAGUCAUAGUUAUGCUAUUACUCAAAUCUUAAUAAGCUCUAUGUUUAAACCUCUAGUGACAGUAAAAACUGUAGCCUGAAGAUCCCAUGAUCUUCCAUUGAAUUCUACUCCUAUAGUCUCUAUGAUCCUGUUUCCACAUCUUG
ensembl:lncRNA